GCCCGGCUAGCUCAGUCGGUAGAGCAUGAGACUCUUAAUCUCAGGGUCAUUUCGAGCCCCACGUUGGGUG
rnacentral:tRNA from 1 species